CUUCGCUACAGAGAUGACCGCAGAUGCAUGCAACUGCAGCGUUUGCUUUGUGCACGCUCGUGCUCAUAUCCUCUUGUCUGGCUGUGCUACAUGGUGCGGACCGGCUAUGUCCUGCACCAGCUUCACCAACGGGUAGUAGCCACAUCCAACUUGCACAUUUUGAAGCGCUCUCA
rnacentral:lncRNA from 1 species